rnacentral:rRNA from 1 species
UGAGUACAAGAUGCUACGGCAUUGAAGCAGUCUAUGUCAUACUUCCAAGAAAAGCUUGCAAUGUCAUAAACAAAUAAUGCCUGUACCAUAACCGACACAGGUGGGUAGGUAGAGUAUACUAAGGGGCGCGAGAUAACUCUCUCUAAGGAACUCGGCAAAAUGACUCCGUAACUUCGGGAGAAGGAGUACCUUAUUUUAUAAGGUUGCAAUAACAAGGUCCAAGCAACUGUUUACCAAAAACACAGGUCUCCGCUAAGUCGUAAGACGAUGUAUGGGGGCUGACGCCUGCCCAGUGCAGAAGGUUAAAGAAGUUGGUUAGCAUUAGCGAAGCUGAUAACUGAAGCCCUGGUGAACGGCGGCCGUAACGAUAACGGUCCUAAGGUAGCGAAAUUCCUUGUCGGGUAAGUUCCGACCCGCACGAAAGGCGUAAUGAUUUGGAUACUGUCUCGGAGAGGGGCUCGGUGAAAUAGACUUGUCUGUGAAGAUGCGGACUACCUGCACCUGGACAGAAAGGCCCUAUGAAGCUUUACUGUAACUUGAGAUUGAAAUUGGACUUUAUUUGCGCAGUAUAGGUGGGAGACCUCGAAAGUAUUCUUGCGGGAAUAUUGGAGUCAUCAGUGAGAUACCACUCUUAUAAUGUUAGAUUUCUAACUUUGUAUCAUUAUCUGGUCAAAGAACAGUUUCAGGCGGGCAGUUUGACUGGGGCGGUCGCCUCCCAAAUGGUAACGGAGGCGCACAAAGGUUUCCUCUGAACGUGUAGAAAUCGUAUCUAGAGUGUAAAGGCAUAAGGAAGCUUGACUGUGAGACCUACAAGUCGAGCAGGAACGAAAGUCGGUCUUAGUGAUCUGACGGUGCUGAGUGGAAAGGCCGUCACUCAACGGAUAAAAGUUACUCUAAGGAUAACAGGCUGAUCUCCCCCAAGAGUUCACAUCGACGGGGAGGUUUGGCACCUCGAUGUCGGCUCAUCGCAUCCUGGGGCGGUAGUACGUCCCAAGGGUUGGGCUGUUCGCCCAUGAAAGCGGUACGCGAGCUGGGUUCAGAACGUCGUGAGACAGUUCGGUCCAUAUCCGGUGUAGGCGUUAGAAUAUUGAGAGGAGCCUUCUUUAGUACGAGAGGACCGAGAAGGACAUACCUCUGGUGUACCAGUUAUCGUGCCAACGGUAAACGCUGGGUAGCUAUGUAUGGAGAGGAUAACCGCUGAAAGCAUCUAAGUGGGAAGCCCACCUCAAGAUAAGUAUUCUC